CUCUUUUUCUCCUAGGCCCACAGGAGGACACUGCCAGAGGAAGCUGCAAGGGGCUUCAAGGGGGACUUCACCCCUGGAGCAUAUGACAGCCUCGUCCACAGACUGGGACUCCUUGUUCUGUAAUCAUGCAGGACAGGGACCGCUCUGAGCCUCCAGUCCUCUGCAAAAGGAGCUAAGAAGACUCGGCAUCAGGCUAAGGGUAUCACUCUCUGCAGGUUCUAAGAGAGCCUAAAUGGAUGACAUCAUUUAUUUUUGGAGAGGGCAGAGGAAGUGGCACAUGAAUCCUGAACCCCAAACUUCUUUCCACGUUGCCCUGGAUUACUUGGGAGUUGCUCGGCUUCAGUCCUGGUCUGGGAAGCCCCGGGAGGAGAGCAGGCCUUUCCACUCCCUCACACGCAGAUGCUAUGCCCGGAUCAGCAGGUGCGCAGGCCUUGCGGAGGAGUCCAUGGGCUGGCCGAGCCCUGGAGGAGGACGAAAGCCCAUGUUCUGGUCCUCGCCUCCUAGCAGCUUGCACCUAACGGCUGAGCUCUCAGCAGCAGCGCAGACUUUGCAUUCCUGACUUGACAGAAGGGCUGCCUGUGACUGUGCUUGGGAACCAUGCUUUCGACACAUUCGCGAUGUGCGUAGCGCAGCACACAAGUUGUAACGCGCGGGGACGGCAGUGUACGUGUGUGUGUGACGUGUCAUCCCGGAAACACGUCACACUACAGUUGGUGUCAAACUUCAUGCUUCAAGGCCUUGGCUGUUUGUCACACAUUGUUUUUUCCCUCUGCGCAGAGAGAGCCAGUCUGUAUCGUGGACUAAAGUCCUGCAAAAUUGCUUUCUGCAAAGUGAAGGCUCUUUAAGCUUCAUAAAUUCAUAUAAGUAGGCAUUUGAAACAUGUAGAUGUUUAUGUGUCCUUUAACUUAACUUUUUUAUAGGUUUUGUGAAGAAUAGUCACAGAUUGCUAACUUUCUCCCCCUU
rnacentral:lncRNA from 1 species